AGCACUAUCAUUAAUUAUAUGUACCACGUGGUUGCCCAGACUUCCUAUUUUGCUUUGACCAAGAGGAAAAUCAGAGCCAAAUUUGUGGUUCAAAUAUAACAACUAUAUGGGACUCUAAAUCAUUUAUUUAGACCUCUGGGACUUCCCUGGUGGAGCAGUGGUUAAGAAUCCGCCUGCCAAUGCAGGGGACGUGGGUUCGAUCCCUGGUCCAGGAAGACCCCACAUGCUGCAGAGCCACUAAGCCCGUGCACCACAAUUAUUGAGCCUGCGCUCUAGAGCCUGUGAGCCACAACUACUGAGACCACAUGCCAUAGCUACUGAAACCGGUGUACCUACAGACCGUGCUCCGCAACAAGAGAAGCCACAGCAAUGAGACGCCCGCGCACCGCAAUGAAGAGUAGCCCCCGCUCGCCACAACUAGAGAAAGCCCAUGAGCACCAACGAAGACCCAACGCAGCCAAAAAUAAUAAAUAUAUUUUAAAAAAUAAAAUAAAAACCUCAGACCUCGUAUAUUCCUUUGUGAUAGCUUCCCGGAAAAAUUCUAGUUUUGCAUUUUUCUUUCUUCUUUAUAAAAUUUAUUUUAUUACUUUAUUCAAAGAUU